UACGUAGGGUGCAAGCGUUAAUCGGAAUUACUGGGCGUAAAGCGCGCGCAGGCGGCCUUUUAAGUCUCGUGGUGAAAUGCCGGGGCUCAACCCCGUGCCCGCCGGAGAUACUGGGAGGCUGGAGACAUGUAGAGGCAAGCGGAAUUCCGGGUGUAGCGGUGGAAUGCGUAGAGAUCCGGAAGAACACCGGAGGCGAAGGCGGGCUUGCUGGGCAUUGUCUGACGCUGAGGCUGCGAAAGCGUGGGGAGCGAACAGG
rnacentral:rRNA from 1 species